rnacentral:rRNA from 1 species
UACGUAGGGCGCAAGGCGUUGUCCGGAAUUAUUGGGCGUAAAGAGCUCGUAGGCGGUCUGUUUGCGUCCGCUGUGAAAACUCGGGGCUUAACCCCCGAGCCUGCAGUGGAUACGGGGCAGACUAGAGGUAGGUAGGGGAGAAUGGAAUUCCCGGUGUAGCGGUGAAAUGCGCAGAUAUCGGGAGGAACACCGGUGGCGAAGGCGGUUCUCUGGGCCUUACCUGACGCUGAGGAGCGAAAGCGUGGGGAGCGAACAGG